AAAGCUUUUGCUAUCUGUCUGAUAGGUUUAUUUUUUGGGAAUGAUUUCCUCUUUCACUUUCAUGGACACCUUGCGGGACCUCAUAUUGAGAGUUCCAGCAACUGCAAUCAAUCCAGAUAUUUUAUCUGAAGCCUUAUUUAAACCUCUGAUAACUGUGUAUUAAAACAUUGCUCUUUUCUAAACAGUUAAUGCAUAUUUUCAGGUGAGUGUUUGUGUCAUUAGUUGCCCCAUAGAGCUGCCGAAUGCUUAACUGUAUAUCAGAGUGACCAAGUGAAUGUCGUAGCCCAGAGAUGUGAUUUUUUUUUUUACAAACUUUUAUUUAAGAAAGAUAAAAACACCUCAUGUUGUCUUGAAAGCCAGCAUCCUCAUUUAAGUUGUUUCACAUAUUAAAUUUCACAUCACAGUGAAUCCUAUAAUAGAGCUGGAAUUUAUUACCAGAGGGAGUGCUGUGCCCAGAGAGUUUGGAAAAUACACUGUUAUAGAACUAAUCUGCCCUAUACAAAAUGCAAAAAAGGCAAAAUGCUGUAAUAUUUAGUUUGAGUUGGCUUUUACUGUAACAAUGAAAAAAAAAAAAGAUGUUAAUUUUUUUUUCAAAACCAAAUGAUACAGAAAGGCAGCUAACUAGACAUGUAAAUCUAAAAAUUAUAUCCAAAGUUUAAGCUAGCUGGCCCAAUAGCUGCAGCUGGAUAAUCUGAAACUUAAACCCUACGUAUUCUUUAGCAUUUUGUCGAAAAAUACCAAUUUUGGUAAAUUGAAGUGGCGUUAUGGUACUUCAUCACCUAAGUAAAUGACACAAGCAAACCCACUGAGGUGAAAAGCUGAACCAAGUUAAAAUUUAGCAAAAUGUGAAGCUAGCAACUGCUAUGCUAGCUGUUUCUUACACAAUGUAAUUCAGUUAGUUCAGUUCAAGAGAAUGUAAGGUAAAGACUAAACAAUAUUGUGUGUUGUUGUGGUUUAACUAGACUUGUCGUGACUAGUUAUAGUUUGGAGUUUUAUCCCUUAACUUCAAUCUGUAACUGAGCAGCCAGAAUGUUGGGGGUUUUUGGACAGUCAGCAAAAGAGCUAAAAUACAGGAGUGGUAUUUUAUUUUUCAAAACUUUAUUUACAUAUUAUCCAAACUAUAUUUACAUAUGCAAAAAAAUAUUUCUUUUGCUCGUCUUUUCUCAUUGUCUCUUGCUGAGCUCCGGUUUCAGUUUCUCUACAAUGAGAUUAGAACUAGAACGGCUCAACUAGGUUGGCUCAAAACUCUGAGGCUGAGGUUUAAGUACAGGAAAGGCUCAGAGAAGUUCCAUAAAUAGUGUGUGCACUAGACCCUGACCAAUUUAUCGGCAGACCAAUACUAUCAGCCAAUCUCAGCCAAUCUGUUGGUACUGAAGACAUUAAAUAUAGUUGAUAAUUCAAAUUUGUAAAAGAAAACAAGAUGGAGAGCUACCCUUCAACUAUGUCAUGAAUGUUGAUGAUGAAUAUUUUGUCCACCAGGGGGCACUCUGCAACUUCCCUGUUGGUAACACACCUGUUUGGAAUGAAGCAAACACAACAACCAGCUGGGUAGAGCAUAUAAAAGUAAAUAAAUAGCUACACACAACAAAAAUAUAAGGAAAAUCUAUUCAUGUUUCAUGUGUUUAAAGGGGGGGAAAAGGAAUGUUGAACUUUAAACCACCAAUUGUUGGUAUCAGACGAUUUGUUUCUUCACAAAUUCCCCACUACUUUCUCGUGAACAAUGUAUGAAAAAAAAGCACUUAUUUAAUGUCUGCCAUUAAUGUUUCUUUUAUAAUUAUAUUACUUUUAUUGUAAUGGAACAGGUUAUACUGAUCUGAUGUAAAGCUUUAAUACCCUGAGGUUUCAGAUGAAACGAAGAUGAGCUUUUGUCUAACUUCUGUAGACAGGAGAAGAGUUUGUGCGUAACAGAUGUGUGUGCCUUUUUUGUUAUAGUUUUUCCAUAGUGUUGCUGUUUUAUUAUUUCAAAGAGUGCUUAUUAUUGUUACACAAUGCUUUCCCCCUCCCUUUGCACAGUUAUGCAUUUACACUGUUAUUACAGCAUGCAUACACACACAUCAUAAUAGAAAAACAAAGGCUCCAGUGUGAAUAUAGUGAGGUAACAGGAAAUUAACUAAGCAUGAGAAAGAGCUAUUUCACUUAAUCCCACCCACUUGGGAAGUGCCUGCUCAGCAGAGAAACAACUGUCAUGGAUGCAUUUGCAAAGCAAUUUGAGAAACAUUCCAAUAAAGUGCCAAAACAAAUUUUCACUUCAAACAUAUUACUCUAAGGAGCUUGGAAAGAAAAGCGACUCAAGGAUGGUCGUUCACAGUGGACAUAGAUAGCGUCUUUCACUCCUCUUUCAAGCCAUCUGUCUUCAAGAACCCUAAAGAACUCCAGUCGUGUUUCUUUCACAGCUGCUUAGAUCGCCAUGACGUGGAUGACUGAGAACCUACACAGACAAACAUAAUACUGUAUUUAUAUUUUUAACACUGCCAUUUAUGUGUGGAAAUAAAUUUGUGUGACUAUAAUCCAGCUGUGUCUGUUACUAUUCUAUACUUUGGGUUAUUUUGGGAAUAUUUGUAAUUUACACAAGUGUUUCUGCUGUUAUUUUACAUACUUAUGCUCAACUAUUUUCC
ensembl:lncRNA